AACGAACGCUGGCGGCAUGCCUAACACAUGCAAGUCGAACGAGACCUUCGGGUCUAGUGGCGCACGGGUGCGUAACGCGUGGGAACCUGCCCUUAGGUUCGGAAUAACUCCCCGAAAGGGGUGCUAAUACCGGAUAAUGUCUUCGGACCAAAGAUUUAUCGCCUUUGGAUGGGCCCGCGUUGGAUUAGCUAGUUGGUAGGGUAAAAGCCUACCAAGGCGACGAUCCAUAGCUGGUCUGAGAGGAUGAUCAGCCACACUGGGACUGAGACACGGCCCAGACUCCUACGGGAGGAAGAAGUGGGGAAUAUUGGACAAUGGGCGAAAGCCUGAUCCAGCAAUGCCGCGUGAGUGAUGAAGGCCUUAGGGUUGUAAAGCUCUUUUACCCGGGAUGAUAAUGACAGUACCGGGAGAAUAAGCUCCGGCUAACUCCGU
rnacentral:rRNA from 1 species